rnacentral:rRNA from 1 species
UACGUAGGGUGCGAGCGUUAAUCGGAAUUACUGGGCGUAAAGCGUGCGCAGGCGGUUCGUUAUGUCCGAUGUGAAAGCCCCGAGCUCAACUUGGGAAUGGCAUUGGAAACUGGCGGGCUGGAGUGUGGCAGAGGGGGGUGGAAUUCCACGUGUAGCAGUGAAAUGCGUAGAGAUGUGGAGGAACACCGACGGCGAAGGCAGCCCCCUGGGCCAACACUGACGCUCAGGCACGAAAGCGUGGGGAGCAAACAGG